GUCCACGCCGUAAACGGUGGGCGCUAGGUGUGGGGAACAUUCCACGUUCUCCGUGCCGCAGCUAACGCAUUAAGCGCCCCGCCUGGGGAGUACGGCCGCAAGGCUAAAACUCAAAGGAAUUGACGGGGGCCCGCACAAGCGGCGGAGCAUGCGGCUUAAUUCGAUGCAACGCGAAGAACCUUACCUAGGCUUGACAGUUGGGGAAAUCUGGCAGAGAUGUCAGGUCCGCAAGGGCCCCAAACAGGUGGUGCAUGGCUGUCGU
rnacentral:rRNA from 1 species